rnacentral:rRNA from 1 species
UGAAGUCGGAAUCGCUAGUAAUCGUGGAUCAGAAUGCCACGGUGAAUACGUUCCCGGGCCUUGUACACACCGCCCGUCACACCAUGGGAGUGGGUUGCAAAAGAAGUAGGUAGCUUAACCUUCGGGAGGGCGCUUACCACUUUGUGAUUCAUGACUGGGGUGAAGUCGUAACAAGGUAACCGUAGGGGAACCUGCGGUUGGAUCACCUCCUUACCUUAAAGAAGC